rnacentral:rRNA from 1 species
UACGAAGGGGGCAAGCGUUGUUCGGAAUGACUGGGCGUAAAGGGCGCGUAGGCGGCGCGUUGCGUCAGAUGUGAAAUCCCCGGGCUCAACCUGGGAAUGGCAUUUGAUACGGGCGUGCUGGAAUCCGUGAGAGGUUGGUGGAAUUCCCAGUGUAGAGGUGAAAUUCGUAGAUAUUGGGAAGAACACCAGUGGCGAAGGCGGCCAACUGGCACGGUAUUGACGCUGAGGCGCGAAAGCGUGGGGAGCAAACAGGAUUAGAUACCCUGGUAGU